CGGUGGAGGGGUGGUGUCACACUGUGGACUGUUAGACCCAAAGGGGGGGUGAGCUGACAAGACAACACCUCACAGUGACACUUGGUAAGAGUAGUGAUGGGCACCUGGGAGACAGUGUGCAGAGAUCUCUACAGACCUGGUCACCAUUGGAGGAAGAGGGAGAGGAGCUGAGCAAGGGACCAUCACAGAACCACAGGAGCACACACAGGAGACAGGAAGCCCCAGGAAGGCUCCAACAUGUCUGAUAAAGAAGAAGAAGAAGGAGGAGGAGGAGGAGGAGGAGAAGAAAAAACACCUAAUAGGCACUAUUUUAAAAAGAAGAAAUGGAACAGAAAAACUAAUCAAAUGGGGAAUUCCAUUCCAAAGCAGAAUCUGAAUAGAGCACGCAGGCGAAGCUCAUGUGCAGAGAGGAGGGCCUUGCUCUUUCUUGGAGUACACAAGUGCCUACCAUCAGAAAGAAGUACAUCUUUCUUCCUGUCUCCUACAUGUGAGCAGAACUCAUGUCCGUGCCAUGGAAAAAUCAGGCAGACAUUGGGGAACUAUGAGGCUGUGGGACACCAAAGUCAAGGUUAGAAUUUGGUGUCUGGGGCCACAGAAAACAGCUCACUGCAUUUGCUUACCUGAGCAGUCGGUUAAAGACAACAUUCAAGACAUACACAGAGACAGUCUAUGCUGCAAAAGCCAGUACCUCAAGCGGGAGGGGUGGGGGUUAUGUGGCAAGAAGUGGGUUUGGACCACUCCCUCCACAACGCCCCGAAUGUAGAUUAUCUCUUGACAUACAGAGACGACCUCGGAAUGGACAUAAACAUUCUUUAGGGAACCGUGAGGAGGAGGGGAGGAGGUGAGACAGGGUAUUAGACGAGACAGGGGUCUGUUAACCGGGUGCAAGCAUCUGCCCUUUUUCAGCAUCAAUGGCCAUGAGUGGGAGCCCCCCAGCAUUCCAGAAGCUGGGGACACCGACAGGGGCCUGUGGCCAAGUGGAUUCCUGGAGUUUAAGACUGGGAUGUAAGAGAGCAGAGCUGACUCAUGCCGCCUACUCAAGGGGCUUGACAAGGGUCCUACUUCUGAUCAGUGACGUUUCUAUGGAUAUGGUACCCACAAAGGCUGGAAGAACGUCAGGUUCCCUGGAGCUGCAGCUACAGGGGGUCGUGAGCUGCCUUACAUGGAUGCUGGGAACACGGAUGCUGAACUCUGGUCCUUUGGGAAGAGCUGAGAACCUCAAGCAGCAAGAGCUAUCUUAAUUGUCCUCCGAGGGACAUGUGGAGCAAAGGACCCGACAGCUGUUUGCCAUUGGCUAUGCUGGGGAUGAAACCCAGGGCUUCGGCGCACACAAGGUAAGAGCUCUGACACUGAACCUGGAAAAGGGUUUAUGCUUUGCUGUUUGGUUAUCAGGUUGGUUCCUCCUCACUGCUGUGAGCAGGGACUGGGAUGGAGGACAAGAGGGAAGGGCGUCUCGGGGUUAGUGCCAGCAGUGGAUGACGCUAUACAUACCAC
rnacentral:lncRNA from 1 species